GAGUCUGAGGCAUCAUCGUAAAAACGAGCAGGUUGUUUAUUAGUAAAGAGUAACAAACCAGCAGGUCAUCGGGGUCGAGAGGAAGCAGCCGUUCAGCUACAUGAAGCCACAACGUUCGUCUACAAAGCUCAGCACGGACACGGUCAGGACGCGGCGUGGAUCCAAGCCUACACAGAUGCAUCAUGGGAUUGCGAGCAAAUGUACAAGCGGUGGAUUGGACCUUAAGUUCAGAGUGAAUGGAUGAGAUGUUCCUCUGCUCCUCAGAGUUAAACCCAGUGUUCAGAGAAGAGACGGAGCAGACCAACCAAAGAAUAGCCAUGAAUAUAGAAGUCCAGACUGUAGGUGAAUAUUCGCCAACAGGUGACGAUCGAAAGCUGCAUCAGAAGGUCACGAAGAUGCUGAACGUCCUAAACAUCCACAGAUAAUGAAACUCAGGUUCUUUAUGUCCAGUCACAAACAUCAUCCAUCGUCUUGUUUCGUUAAAUUGAACCUGAAUUGUGACCUUUAACCUCUGGGAUGUUUCAUAUCUAUCCUCGCUGUAAUGGUUGCCAUAGUAACAGGUCAUCUUUUAGGCAGGAUUACAUUCAACACAGUCUGUAAAGUCCCGAAAAGGCAAAGAACAGAGAGACAAAGUGUUAAAUAUCAAAUAAAUAUAAGUUCAGUGAUCGACUUUUUUAUCAGAAUAUCCCAUUAGAAGCAGCACCUGAAGAAAAAAAUGUUUAUUUUUGUGGAAAUAAGCUUUUUCUGAAUGAGAUAUUGUCUAUUAGUUACCAAAAUUAACCUGUAAUUUUGAGUAAAAUUAAACAUAGAAAUAAGUCACUGAAAUUUUUAACCUAAAUAUUGACAGAAAAUAGAGGAAGUGCUAAGAGCCCAUAAAAACAUGCCUUGAGUUUUUUUUUUAAACUACAUUUCAGCCCUGAUGAUGUGGAAAAUAUUUGUAAAAAAUAUAGAUUUUAUCCCCAUGGACUGUAUAUAAUCAGUGGUAGUAUGUGACCACAUGGUUCAUUCUGGUUUUAAUGGUUCAUGUACAUUUACAGAUUUUCCUUCUCCAGUUGGUGUUCAAUGAGCUUUUUGGGUUUUCUCCUGUUUUGUAUCAAAUAUUACACAUGAUCUACAAUCUAAGAAUUUAGUUUUCUUGGGGAGUUUCUCCAAAGAAAUUUCUCAGAUUUAUGUUUGUGUCACAUAUCUUCCCUUCUCUACAGUGACACAUAUUUGUUUUCAUCAUGCUUGAUUUUUAUUAAUUCUUAUACAUAAGAGUAUGAAUUUUCUGCCAAGUCUCCCAUGAAAACUUUAUUUUCCAUUCAUAUCUUCUAUUUCUAAAUUUCAUGCAUAAGCAAUUUUUCUCUGACUUAUUUCAUUGUUUAAUAUUAAACACUUUGUGUCUCUGUACAAUGUCAUGUUUAGUAUUGAUUAUCCAGUUAUUGAUUAUCCAGUUUUUAACAGGCUGACAUUAGAAACACCACCUGUUGGAUUAUACAGAAGGUGGAGGAGAUGAUCUGUGGAUGACAAGGGUUAAAAGUGCAACCAAUAUCACAUUCAGAUGAAUCUUAAACCAAAAGGAUCUAUUAUUAGGAUAAAUUAACAUCUCAACAGCCCCUUUUCCACCACAGGAACUUUAACUUUACCAGGAACUUUGAAAAUCUCGAUAUGUUUUCACUUAAAUUACCCAGUUAAAAACCUUCCUUGACAACAGUUCCUGGUAGAGGGAUUAGACUUUCAGAUUCUGUGAAUUUCUUGGGGGGCGGGGCUAUAUGCUGAAGAACACUGAUCGGUGGAACACACUUCUGUUCACCAUCCAUGUUUCAUCCAGUGGCAUCUGUAAACUUGUUUAUUCCAUUUCUACAAGAUUUGCUUCAUUUGUGUUUUGAUCAUUUGGAAAAUGGAGCAAAAGAAGAGAAGCUACAAGAACUGGAAAAUGACGACAUCCAUUUGGCAAAUAGGCUCUUUUGAGUGUUUAAAGUCGGUUUUAUAAGAGUAUUCUGACAAUAUUACAAUCACCCACCUGUCCAUCUGAAUAUGUUACAAAGUGUAUUCGGUAAAUAUGCUGAUAACAGUCAGGAACUCAUUGAACGUAUUUACAGAAUACAAUCCAAAGAAAUCCAGCAAGAGUUGAAUCUGAUCUGAAUAAAUUUCCAGGAACUUUGUGGUGGAGACACAAACCACACAGAUUACUAGGAAAACUUUUACCAGGUAAAUAAGUUCCGGGUAA